GCUCCCGGCUCCGGGAGGUCUGCUAAAGCCCAUUCAGGUGCACCGCUGGCAGGUCAGGUGGUCCACGUGCCGAGGGGAGGAGACAGCGUCCUUACCUGGUUUCUGCUUCAUUCACGGUUGGAGCUGACGAAUUCUACAGGCUCCCUUUGGCCGGGGGUGAAACAUUGAUUUCCUACCUGCGUGGGCACGUCUGUGACGCCCUCCUUAAGGUCUUACCUGGCAAGCCCUCGGAGUUGUACUUUUCUUCCCGGAACGUUCUUCUUCAUAUGUUCACGCUGUAGUUAAGGGAGCAGGAGCAGCAGGGAGCUGUUUGCUGUGACUGAAGACGUGCCAGGCAGAGUGGCAUUCGGGGCAAGGUGGCAGACACACUGAGGACAAGGGCUGUGGUAUUUGGAGUGUCGGUUUUACUUGUUCUAAGAAAACAAGCGUGUUUUAUCCGCAAUGCCGCGGAUUCCGUAUUCAUUUCCUUGAUGGAACGGCAGGGUCCCUGAAACACCAUUUCUUCGGAUUGUUUGAUCCUUAGCUUAGAAAGGUUGGAAAUCCACGGGAUCUGAACCCCAGACGCGGAUCCAGCCAGAAGGUCUGGUGUUGUUUCCCCUGACACAUUGAUUUGGCCUGGGAAAGGUCGCUGUCCUGGGACACACAGAAAGCUUUCGGAUACGCGUGGCAGUGCUGUGAGCUGGAGUCCGGGAGACCGUGUAUUGAGAUGCACGGUUGGGUCGCAGGCAGAGUUGUCUUGUUGGGGACGGUGUUUCCAAGACAACGACCGGUGGUUAAGAGGUGAUGAUUCAAAAAAAAAAGCCUUCACCUGUGCUCGCCCGGCUUUCAUCUUUCGCAGACAAAGCAGGCUGGGGCUUGGGCCUCGGUCUGUGGCAUGCUUAGGGCCCGGGUAUUAAAGGGGCUGGAUCACCCUCAGGCUUUUAAGGGUUUUUUUGGGUUAAAUUGAUGAGCAUGUAUAAUAAAUUGAAGCUUUGUUGUUUGGCGGAUUUUUUUCUCUAUUUGUUAUUUUAUCAGUUAAGAGAAGGGGGUGGGGGGGGGGCGUUCGUCUCUCCUCCCACGUCUCAGAUUUGCCUUGAGAUUUGUCAUCGACUGGGAUGGGCUUGGAUAUGACUAGCAUUUUUGUAUGUGUCUGUUUCUCCAAGCUGCCUGGAAUCCAAGCACCCGAGUGUCUAGAUGGCCGGUGUGUAGAGUCUUGACAGGGUUUGCACAGGGCCCAGGGGACCGGUGUCCCCUGUGUCCCUCCAUGGCGAGGGCCUGACCUGUCCCUGCGGGGGACACACCCAGCAGAUUCUUCUCUGCUGGAAAUUGGGACUUCAUUUAUGUCAGUCUGUCAUUUUCUUCUGUUUAUUUGUGUCUUUGGAAUUUCGUCUUGUUCAAAGCAGAACUGAAUGAAUUUAGUGAGCGUGUGAGUUUUUGGGACUGCUUGCCUUUGGGGAGCAGUGUGGCUCAGAAGGGCCAGGCCCACGCAGUGCCCGCACUGGUCAGCCUGUGAGCAGUCAGUUUCAGACGAGCCUGUCUGGGCUACAAACACGCUGUGUAAACACAGGGCACACGGGAACACGCGGCAUUCUGCGGAAGGGGCCGUUUAAAGCAGGCUGUUCCGCGUACCCCCGAUGCUUCUAUGACAUGUGUGUGCGAACGUAUCGAUAUGUGCCUUUUGGGGUGGGGGGGCGGGCACUUUUACCAGAUACUUUCUUUUUCCUUCUACUAGGGCGCCAUGCUCGAGGGGGUGUGGAAAAGCCGCCGAAUACACAGGAAGGUUGUGUUGACUUUGUUCUCAGCCUUCACUCUUUUCCUUGGGCCAAGGUGACGGAGCUCUCUGCCCGUACUUGCCGAAGCGCCCAACUCCCCUUGUUUCAUUCUUUGUAAAUAAAACAGACUUCCCUCUUCCCUGCACCAUGGCUCGCUCCUAGUUUCCUCCACGGCUACAAUUCAGUCUAAUCGUAUCUCUUGGAAAUAAUAUGAGAAAGUUAUGCUGUUUUACUCCAUCAGAUUUAAUAAGUUUGGAUGCUUUCCAAGUACUCGGCAUUAAUCACACUUAAACCCAGGGCUUGAUAGUUCAUCCACCCGGAGUAUUCAUGUCAGAGACAUAAAACAAUCUGCUUUAAUGCCUACAGUUCCCUUUAAAUUGAGCACUUGCCUUGUGUUAAUAAAACUUGCUUUGUAUUGAGGGGCAAUACAACGGGCAAAGACUGGGGGUGGGGAUUUUUAUGUCACGUAAAGCGUUUCAUGGCCGAAUUUUCCUUUCCUGUUUUAAAGCUUUGCAGAAUUACAUGGGGAAAAAAAAAAAAAAAAAAGGAACAAGGUAGGCUCAGAAUAAGGAGGAAUUAGUCAGCUUGGCAGUCUCCAGAGCUUGGUUUCCAUCAGAGAGAUGACGUGGCCCUGACAAUUGGACAACACUCUUGAUGUUGCUCCUGUGCUCCAUUCUGGGAGUGACGCUGUGACACUGGACGCUGGUGUUUGCCCGUGUUCCAGGAGGAGGGUACGAUGCCCGCUGUCCGCGCCACCUGCCACAGUCGCGGGCUGCAGGGAUGCACACAGACCAGGCCAACGUUCAGAAGUACUGUCUUCGUCACCAGCAUGUGACUGUCCUUUUAAGUGGGAAGUGUCCUGCCUCUUCUCCACCCCCGUGACGAUGUGAAGAGAGUGGUUUCUCGAGCAUCUUUCUCCUUUUGGGCAUGGAAGUCUUCAUCUUGUAGCAGAGUUUCUUUAAUAUUUCAUCAGAGUGACGGAAGUUUCCACUUGUUAGUAUUUUCUUGAGGAUCCCUCCAUGGCGUGAGGGGAGGUUUGCUCCGGGGACGAAGGGAGCACAGAGAACAUGAACUCUGCCAGAGGGAGGCACUGACUGAUCCUGGGGCUGGCUCUCAGGUGGCUUUCCAUCCUUAGUCCACAGAGUGUGGUCACUGUGGGUGGCCUGCCAGGCUCUGAGGCAGAAAUACCUGUCAGCCAACACAUAUCCCAAGACCACGUGCUUUGUACUUAACUACCCUAGGAAGCACCCAGAUCGUAUGGGUACGGACUCUGCUACAAGACAUUCUAAACUCCAAGCCACGCAAGGUAUGAUAAGUAAUUGCUGACUGGCGUGUGCCCAUGAUGACUUCAGUGCAGUUCUGAGAAGGGGUGGACGAGGCUUGGGUGUUGGGUAGCCUCCCAGCAAGUGGUUGGUGUUUAAGGGUGCUGGCCCUUCCUCUGGCCUCACGCACUGAACCCAGCUGGUUCAUGCAUGACUUGGCCACUAGGGGAGUUUUCUGGAAGCGUAUUUUAUGUCAUCGGAUGAAGCCUGCACACGCAAGAAAUCUCCAUUUCAAUCUGAGAAUACAGGACACUGCCUGGUCUGAACCAACCAACAAGCAAACGGACGAGUUGGACGACUGUGGUAGAGAAGGGCAUCCACUCUGUAGUGACGGCUCAGCCUCAGCAGAUGAGACACCGCACAGUUACUUUCUUUUAAAAAAAUUUUUUUUUUAUUAACGUUUAUUUAUUUUUGAGACAGACAGAGCAUGAACGGGGGAGGGUCAGAGAGAGAGGGAGACACAGAAUUGGAAGCAGGCUCCAGGCUCUGAGCCGUCAGCCCAGAGCCCGACGCGGGGCUCGAACUCACGGACCGCGAGAUCGUGACCUGAGCCGAAGUCGGACGCUUAACCGACUGAGCCACCCAGGCGCCCCGACAGUUGCUUUCCUCUCUGAUCUUUGUCAUCCCUGCUGAAAAGGGUCUGUAGAAGAUGUGGCUCAGAUAUAUAUGGAGUUUAAUUGCUUCAAAUUAUGUGGACAUCUAAAAUUAACACCAGCCUUGGUAUUAAUGUUCAGAGUUUGGAAUAUAUUUAAUUGGGCUCAUCUGUAUCUGCUGGUCAUAGAUAAUCUAUGUGUGUUUGUAGGUACACAAAUCCAGCAUUUAUUUGGGGUAUGUAGGCCAUCAGCAAGUUGUAGGGAAGUUUGCUCAUACAGUUGGCUGAUGAGGCUGAUGUUGGGAGACCGGGCUUACCCCUUAGGAAGCUUAUAAUUCCGUAUGAUGGUAGUUGUAACCUUUCCUGGAAAAUAUCUUAAUCCCCGUGACAUCAUACUGUGAAAGAAGCUGUCAUAUGACUCAUUUCUCAAACGUUAAUUUAAGAAAUCUUUGUCACAUGCCUGUUGUGAUCCAGGCAGUCCUGUAGAUGUCAGGGACAGAGUAGUGAGUGGAGACAGACCAAGUUCCUGCUCUCACGGACCUUGCACUGCCCGGGAGGGGAAGACAGAAGCCAGUAACGUAAAAGGAGUCUGUGCUAGUUAGGGCUGGCAAGUGCUGUGAAGUGUGUGGGGAGCAGGGCACAAGGAGAACCCCCCCAUGUGACCCAGGGCCUUUGAACAGAGACCUGAUGCAGUGAGUGAGCAAACCUUGGAGGUGGCUGAGGGAAAGAACAUUCUAGAAGGAGCCAUAAAUGCCAAGUCCUUGAAGUAAAGGUGUGCUUGACGUCUUCAGGGAACUUCUGUUGUUCGCCUGCCAUACACAUUGUCUGCUUAGGUAGGUUUUUAACUUCACCACCGUGUUCAAGUAGCAAUAAAUUGCUUUCCCAACCAGAUUUAUGCCAGAUUGAGGGCUGAAACCAUAUCCUAAAUGUGCCUUGUGCUUUCGUGAUGUUUAGCCUGAUGGUGACCCCAUAACAAGUGCACAACAAACACAUUAAAAUUUAUGGAUCCCGUGAUUAAAAUGUUAAAAUUAACCAUAAUGUAAUGGAUCUGUAGUUGAUACGGAACAUUUUUCAAGGAAAAGAAAAAUCUCUUGCUACCUCAACCUUUCUUUCUCAGUUUCCUGUCUGUGGAGAUUUUAUGCAGGCUCAUCAGGCUCAAAUUAGUAAUUGGGCACUGUCCCAGGAAAUGGCCCAAUACUGGAUAUUUGAUAACAUUUUUUCUUACUAUAGAGUGUCCACAAGAUCAAGAUUCUGUCCUCAGAUUCCACAGGUAAGUGGAGUCAAGGGGGCAAUUACAGCUUCCCCGUGUAGCACAGUGAUGCACAGGAAGUGUUUUGGAAGUUAAUUUUGAGUUCACGGUCAUCUUUAUUGAAGGUACAAUUUAUGCCGGAGGUGUGAUCCGAAAUUAAUUCCUACAAUGAGUGAAGGAAAAGCUCUUCAUGUAUAUUUGGGGACUUUGGGUUUAGAGGAAGCCGGUGCUAAAUCACUGGAAAGGGAAAGAAUCCUUAUGUGAAUAUCCCAGCCCUGGCUGAUGUAGAAACACACUGAACAUGUGUGUGUGUGUUUUUCUGUGUUACGUGGUUUUAAUGGGGAGAGGAACAUUCCGGAGGGCGGUAAGUGCAAAGAUCCUGAGGCGCAAGGCUUCUUGCAAUGACCAGUGAGAGUCCAGAAGGUCACUGUAUUGUAUUCCCACAGCACAUGCUGUGCAGAUCUCUUUGCUGCAGCUGGACUUUGACUGAAGAGGGGACAAAACUGAGUUCCCGGCCUCACACUUGGUGAUGUGUUGUGAUAUCCCGAGAA